UGGUUUCUGAGUGUGGUUUUAGAAGAAUAUAUAGGCUGUUUUCACUGCUGUACGUCAAACUAAAAAAAGAACAAUACCUGUCAAAUUUUGACGAGGGUACAAUAGACCUGUCAAAAAAAGGGUUGACGAGGGUAAAAUAAAGGUCAAUAAAUCUGUCAAAAAUAGUUGAUGAAUAGACAAUAGAACUAUAAUGAUCUAAUAUAUUCGCGCAUUUUAACAGUUGUUAUGUCACUAUAUCGUGAGAAAGUUUUCUCCCACACUAAACACAAUGGUCAACCAUACAAAAGGUUCGUUUGGUAGUAUACAAUAGAAUCUUAAAGAGCCAACAUACUUUAGCAUUUUAACAAAUUAGCUGUCAGGACAUCGUGAGAAAAUCUUCACCCACUCAUCAGACAAAAGUGCCUGAUAAAAAAUUCUCAAAAGGUUCUAUAAAUCAAACUUAGUUACACGAUCCAUUGUAUCAUAAUGUUCCUAUAUAAUUGGUCGUUACAUCGAAUU